rnacentral:rRNA from 1 species
UACGUAGGGUGCAAGCGUUAAUCGGAAUUACUGGGCGUAAAGCGUGCGCAGGCGGCUUUGCAAGACAGAUGUGAAAUCCCCGGGCUUAACCUGGGAACUGCAUUUGUGACUGCAAGGCUGGAGUGCGGCAGAGGGGGAUGGAAUUCCGCGUGUAGCAGUGAAAUGCGUAGAUAUGCGGAGGAACAACGAUGGCGAAGGCAAUCCCCUGGGCCUGCACUGACGCUCAUGCACGAAAGCGUGGGGAGCAAACAGG